AGUGAACGCUGGCGGCGUGCCUAACACAUGCAAGUCGAGCGAGAUUUAGCGGCACAUUGCUAAGUCUAGCGGCAGACGGGUGAGUAAUAUUUAGAAAACCUCCCCCAGAGAAGGGAACACCUUCGAGAAAUCGAAGCUAAUACCCUAUAAGACCACAGUCCGGCAUCGGACAGGGGUCAAACCCCGUAAGGGGCUCAGGGAUGGUUCUGAAUCCUAUCAGCUAGUUGGCGGGAUAACAGCCCACCAAGGCUAUGACGGGUAUCCGGCCUGAAAGGGCGAUCGGACACACUGGAACUGAGACACGGUCCAGACUCCUACGGGAGGCAG
rnacentral:rRNA from 1 species